UUAAACGUCCAUACCACGUUGAAUACACUGGUUCUCGUCCGAUCACCGAAGUUAAGCAACGUCGGGCGCAGUCAGUACUUAGAUGGGUGACCGCCUGGGAACUCCGCUUGGCGUUGGCA
rnacentral:rRNA from 1 species